rnacentral:rRNA from 1 species
AUUGAACGCUGGCGGCAGGCCUAACACAUGCAAGUCGAACGGUAACAGGAAGACGCUUGCUUCUUUGCUGACGAGUGGCGGACGGGUGAGUAAUGUCUGGGAAACUGCCUGAUGGAGGGGGAUAACUACUGGAAACGGUAGCUAAUACCGCAUACCGUCGCAAGACCAAAGUGUGGGCCCUUCGGGCCUCUUGCCUUCGUUUGUGCCCAGAUGGGAUUAUCUAGUAGGUGGGGUAACGGCUCACCUAGGCGACGAUCCCUAUCUGUUCUGAGAGGAUGACCAGCCACACUGGAACUGAGACACGGUCCAGACUACUACGGGAGGCAGCAGUGGGGAAUAUUGCACAAUGGGCGAAAGCCUGAUGCAGCCAUGCCGCGUGUAUGAAGAAGGCCUUCGGGUUGUAAAGUACUUUCAGCGGGGAGGAAGGGAGUAAAGUUAAUACCUUGGCUCAUUGACGUUACCCGAAGAAGAAGCACCGGCUAACUCCGUG